UGCCAUUUCCUUCUCCAGGGGACCUUCCCAACCUGGGGAUUGAACCCAGGUCUCCCACAUUGCAGGCAGACACUUCACGCUCUGAACCGCCAGGGAAGCCCUUUCAUAGCAAUUCCUGUCAGUGAGGUCAGACAUACGACAGAGGACGAGAUGGUUGGAUGGUUGGAUGGCAUCACCAACUCAGUGGACAUGAGCAAGCUCUGGGAGUUGGUGAUGGACAGGGAAGCCUGGCGUGCUGCAGUGCAUGGGGUCACAGAGUUGGACACGGCUGAGCGACUGAACUGAUUGAAGUGCAGUUGAUUAACAAGGCUGUGUGAGUUUCAGCAGGGAAAGUGGAAACCGGCGUGGACUGAGAAGGCGCAAAUCCGGCCGGCCGCCUGUGGGUCUGGAAUGACAGAAGCAGAGCCAGCUGCGGAGGAACCGGGAAGCCAUUCUCCUGCAGCCAGAGACCCUGCAGUUGUAAGACGCCAUAACUCACUUUUUUCCUACUGAGACACAGCUCUGUGAAAACCAGUGGCGACCCUUUGCUGCGUUAGAG
ensembl:lncRNA